rnacentral:rRNA from 1 species
GCUCGUGGAUCGAUGAAGACCGCAGCUAAAUGCGCGUCAGAAUGUGAACUGCAGGACACAUGAACACCGACAAGUUGAACGCAUAUUGCACAUCGUACAACAGUACGAUGUACACAUUUUUGAGUGCCUAUAUUUAUCUAUUCAACUGUGCGAGUGCGCACACGCGCGCCCCCGCACGCAGAAUGGUGUUUUGCUGCCUUCGGUGGCUGGCAAAACAUUCAAGACGCUCAGCGGCUCGGGUUUUUCGCGGACGACCACACUGGUGCGCGCGCCACGCGACUGAACACUGACUGGUGAGAGAAUACAUCCCACACACCAACCUGGCUUGGGCGCCGAUGUAGCAUCUCUCUCUCUCUCGCUUUCACGUGUUCGGUCGGCGCGCGGUACCGCGUCCGCAGCAGAAAACACCCAAACAAGAGCAGCGUAGUAUAGUAGUAUAUGUAGGCCUCAAAUAAUGUGUGACUACCCCCUAAAUUUAAGCA